CGUGGCUUAGUGGCUAAGCCGCCAGGCUCCUAACCUGGGGGGCUUGGGUUCGAGCCCG
rnacentral:tRNA from 1 species